AUGGCCUGGACCCCGCUCCUCCUGGGCCUCCUGGCUCACUGCACAGGUUCUGUAUAUUCGUAUAAGCUGAUUCAGCCGCCCUCAUUAUCUGUGAGCUUGGGAGGGGAGGCUAAGUUGACCUGUUCGGGAAACAACAUUGGUAGAUAUGCUGUUCAAUGGUACCAGCAGAAGCCAGGCGAGGCCCCUGUGCUGGUCAUCUAUGUUAAUAACAACCGGCCCUCAGGGAUCCCUGACCGCUUCUCUGGCUCCAACUCUGGCAACCUGGCCACCCUGACCAUCACGGGAGUCCAGGCUGAGGAUGAGGCCGACUAUCACUGUGCACCAGCUGGUACCAUAGAUGGCAGCGUGCAGUGA